rnacentral:rRNA from 1 species
AGAGUUUGAUCCUGGCUCAGGACGAACGCUGGCGGCGUGCUUAACACAUGCAAGUCGAACGGGGAUUAUUGGGAUGAGAGCUUCGGCAGGAUUUCCGGUAAUUCUAGUGGCGGACGGGUGAGUAACGCGUGAGCAACCUGUCCCAGACAGGGGGAUAACACUUGGAAACAGGUGCUAAUACCGCAUGAGACCACGGUGAGACAUCUCACUGAGGUAAAAGGUGUAAACCGGUUUGGGGUGGGCUCGCGUCCGAUUAGAUAGUUGGUGAGGUAACGGCCCACCAAGUCGACGAUCGGUAGCCGACCUGAGAGGGUGAUCGGCCACAUUGGAACUGAGAGACGGUCCAAACUCCUACGGGAGGCAGCAGUGGGGAAUAUUGGGCAAUGGGCGAAAGCCUGACCCAGCAACGCCGCGUGAGUGAAGAAGGCCUUCGGGUUGUAAAGCUCUGUUGUGGAUGACGAAGAGCGUGACGGUAGUCCACAAGGAAGCCCCGGCUAACUACGUGCCAGCAGCCGCGGUAAUACGUAGGGGGCGAGCGUUGUCCGGAAUGACUGGGCGUAAAGGGCGUGUAGGCGGCUCUUUAAGUCUGGAGUGAAAGUCCUGUAUUUAAUAUGGGAAUUUCUUUGGAUACUGGAGAGCUUGAGUGCAGGAGAGGGUAUCGGAAUUCCCGGUGUAGCGGUGAAAUGCGUAGAGAUCGGGAGGAACACCAGUGGCGAAGGCGGGUAACUGGACUGCAACUGACGCUGAGGCGCGAAAGUGUGGGGAGCAAACAGGAUUAGAUACCCUGGUAGUCCACACUGUAAACGAUGAAUGCUAGGUGUAGGGGGUAUCGACCCCUUCUGUGCCGCAGUAAACACA